rnacentral:rRNA from 1 species
GACGAACGCUGGCGGCGUGCUUAACACAUGCAAGUCGAACGGAAAGGCCCUGCUUUUGUGGGGUGCUCGAGUGGCGAACGGGUGAGUAACACGUGAGUAACCUGCCCUUGACUUUGGGAUAACUUCAGGAAACUGGGGCUAAUACCGGAUAGGAGCUCCUGCUGCAUGGUGGGGGUUGGAAAGUUUCGGCGGUUGGGGAUGGACUCGCGGCUUAUCAGCUUGUUGGUGGGGUAGUGGCUUACCAAGGCUUUGACGGGUAGCCGGCCUGAGAGGGUGACCGGCCACAUUGGGACUGAGAUACGGCCCCGACUCCUACGGGAGGGAGCAGUGGGGAAUAUUGCACAAUGGGCGGAAGCCUGAUGCAGCAACGCCGCGUGCGGGAUGACGGCCUUCGGGGUGUAAACCGCUUUCGCCUGUGACGAAGCGUGAGUGACGGUAAUGGGUAAAGAAGCACCGGCUAACUACGUG